rnacentral:rRNA from 1 species
CUACGGGCGGCAGCAGUGGGGAAUAUUGGACAAUGGGCGAAAGCCUGAUCCAGCCAUGCCGCGUGUGUGAAGAAGGCCUUCGGGUUGUAAAGCACUUUCAGUGGGGAAGAAAGCCUUGGGGCUAAUACCCUCGAGGAAGGACAUCACCCACAGAAGAAGCACCGGCUAACUCCGUGCCAGCAGCCGCGGUAAUACGGAGGGUGCGAGCGUUAAUCGGAAUUACUGGGCGUAAAGCGCGCGUAGGCGGUCUGAUAAGCCGGUUGUGAAAGCCCCGGGCUCAACCUGGGAACGGCAUCCGGAACUGUCAGGCUAGAGUGCAGGAGAGGAAGGUAGAAUUCCCGGUGUAGCGGUGAAAUGCGUAGAGAUCGGGAGGAAUACCAGUGGCGAAGGCGGCCUUCUGGACUGACACUGACGCUGAGGUGCGAAAGCGUGGGUAGCAAACAGGAUUAGAUACCCGAGUAGU